GGGGUGAUGUAGUGGAUGUGCGUGUCGAUGCCACCGGCGGUGAGGAUGCGGUUCUGACCUGCGAUGACCUCGGUCCCCGGGCCGAUGACGAGGUCGGGGUCCACACCGUCCUGGGUGUUGGGGUUGCCGGCCUUGCCGAU
rnacentral:sRNA from 1 species